rnacentral:rRNA from 1 species
UACGUAGGGUGCAAGCGUUAAUCGGAAUUACUGGGCGUAAAGCGUGCGCAGGCGGUUAUGUAAGACAGAUGUGAAAUGCCCGGGCUUAACCUGGGAACUGCAUUUGUGACUGCAUGGCUAGAGUUUGGCAGAGGGGGGUAGGAUUCCACGUGUAGCAGUGAAAUGCGUAGAUAUGUGGAGGAACACCGAUGGCGAAGGCAGCCCCCUGGGUCAAGACUGACGCUCAUGCACGAAAGCGUGGGGAGCAAACAGG